rnacentral:lncRNA from 1 species
GUAGCCUUUCCCUUCUCCAGGGGGUCUUCCCAAACCAGGGAUCGAACUGAGGUCUCCUGCAUUGCUGGAGGAUUCUUUACCAACUGAGCUAUCAGGGAAGCCCAUAAGGCUGGUGCAAUUGGGGGCAUUCGGGACAUAUAAGGAAUUAAUUGUGUUUUGUGGGUGUCUUUCAUCCAAGGGCAUCUGUUAUGUCAUAUUCUCUGUACUCUGAGCAAUGGGCGGCACAGAGGCCCCAGAGAAAGAGAUUGUGGUAUUAGUGUCUCAGUGUUUCUAAAUCACGGUAAACACUAACUUGGAGCCUGCCUGUCUGGACUGGCUGUGUACGGAAGAGAUAGAGAAGCAAUCCCAGAAGCGCGGCUGAGCCGGCCUGACCAGGAAGUGGGCUGAAGCACUUGUUAGAGAUGCCUUCUCUUGGGCAGGAUGGAACCCAGUGCUGGAGACGGGGGUGAGGGCCCCUGGGUGAGGGCUGGAGUCCAGUUGAGCAAAACUGGAGCUGAGAGAUCUCAGCUGUCUAGAGUGGAACUUCUGCAGUACAGGCUGGGUUUUCCAGAACUAGGUAGAAGGUCUUCCCUUUGCUUGUCCCGGGUGAUGAUUUGGUGUAUCAGGCAGUGACUGGCCGGCUGGCUCGGUGACGGGAAGGAGGGAAGUGAGGGAAAGCAAUCACUUGCUGUUCCAGGAACGAUGGCUGUGCCUUA